rnacentral:misc_RNA from 1 species
GAUGAAGAACGUAGUGAAAUGCGAUAAGUAGUGUGAAUUGCAGAAUUCAGUGAAUCAUCGAAUCUUUGAACGCACAUUGCGCCCCUUGGUAUUCCAUGGGGCAUGCCUGUUCGAGCGUCAUUUGUACCUUCAAGCUCUGCUUGGUGUUGGGUGUUUGUCUCGCCUCUGCGCGUAGACUCGCCUCAAAACAAUUGGCAGCCGGCGUAUUGAUUUCGGAGCGCAGUACAUCUCGCGCCUUGCACUCAUAACGACGACGUCCAAAAGUACAUUUUUACACUCUUGACCUCGGAUCAGGUAGGGAUACCCGCUGAACUUAAGCAUAUCAAUAAGCGGAGGA